AUGUUAACGGGGGGAGGGGAGGGGGAGGGGGCGGCGGGGGCGGGAGGGGGAAGGGGCCGGCGGGAGCUGCUCUCGGCUCGGCGGCCGCCGCGCCCGCAGUCUGGAGGCGCACCGGAGCGGCCGGGGCGCCCCCCGCGGGAGCCCGCAGCCCCCCGGGGCGCGCAUCCAGCCGCGGCUGCUCCGGCCCCGCGCGCCGCGCCCCGGGGCUCGGCGGACCCCGCGCCGCCGCCGCUCCCGAGCUGGUGCGAGCGGGCUGGCCGGCGGGGCGGCGAGGGCCCGGCCCGCCUCCCCAGCGCCCGCCCCGGCUUCUCCCCCUGGCGGCGGAGGAGCCUCGGCGGCCGCCGGCUGCACGGAGCGCUGGAGCCCGAGCCGAGCCGAGCCCGAGCCCCAGCCCGAGCCGCCGCCGCCGCCGCCGCCGCCGCCGCCGCCGCCGCCAACGCCGCGCUCGGCUCCCAGGCUCCCUCCCCGCGCGCCGGCCGGGGUGUGGGGGGCGGCGGGCCGGAGGGACGAGGGCGGGCGAGAGGCGCGCGCCGGGAUUGGCGCCGAAGACCGGACCCUCAGCCGCUGGGGGAUGUUGUAGGUCUCUGCUCUUGUAAGACUUUGGCUGCAGAAUCCCGGGAUAAGCCCUCCUAGGCAUGUUCUGUUAUACACAAUACCACUUGUUAAGAGAGAUUCACUGUCUAAGUGACAGGCCAGCAUUUCACAAUUAGUGAUGACUGGUCACAUGGUAUUAGUGAAAUUCCUUUCCCCUUUUGCAAUGGAUCAAAAGAUUCAACAAAUGGUGAAUCAAUGACAAGGCAAUAAUAAGGUGAGAGAUUAUGUUACUAAAAGAUGACCUCAAGAUUAUUACUACAAUGAAUUCAUUUCUUAUGUAGAAAAGUGCUGGACAAUUUAUUAUUGUUAUAGUAAAACUGGAGGUGAUUUCAUGUGUUCAUAAUUGCCACAUGAGGUUAAAUAGAAUUGGGUAUGGUCCCCUCUCUAACAUGCCACCGGUGUCUGAAUUUGGGGGAAUUGUUAAACAGUUGGGGGCUUCAGUAUCUCCAGUUGAAAACAGGAGCAAUAGUAUUUAUCUGGUAGGUUAUGAAGGCAAAAUGUCAUAACACAAAACACCUGACACCCUGCAAUCAC
rnacentral:lncRNA from 1 species